AACGAACGCUGGCGGCAUGCCUAACACAUGCAAGUCGAACGAGACCUUCGGGUAUAGUGGCGAACGGGUGCGUAACGCGUGGGAACCUGCCCUUAGGUUCGGAAUAACUCCCCGAAAGGGGUGCUAAUACCGGAUAAUGUCUUCGGACCAAAGAUUUAUCGCCUUUGGAUGGGCCCGCGUUGGAUUAGCUAGUUGGUAGGGUAAAAGCCUACCAAGGCGACGAUCCAUAGCUGGUCUGAGAGGAUGAUCAGCCACACUGGGACUGAGACACGGCCCAGACUCCUACGGGAGGCAGCAGUGGGGAAUAUUAGACAAUGGGCGAAAGCCUGAUCCAGCAAUGCCGCGUGAGUGAUGAAGGCCUUAGGGUUGUAAAGCUCUUUUACCCGGGAUGAUAAUGACAGUACCGGGAGAAUAAGCUCCGGCUAACUCCGUG
rnacentral:rRNA from 1 species